rnacentral:lncRNA from 1 species
GUUCGUACUAUGGAUGGGAGUUAGGAAGCGAGUUGGUUAUCUGCAGAAAGCGGGUCUGCCGACAAUGUUUGGGACAAAUUUGUUGGUCUUUGGAAUGGUUUAUUGGUUUGGAUAUCGGGAUGAGGAUUUCAGAAUCAUUUUCUGGAUGCGUUAACUCUGUUGGAUCUCAUUAAACCCAACACAGAAAGUCCUUACAAUGCAGAAAAUGGGUUUAUGCCGAGAAUGUAGAUUGAGGUUGAUGGUUUUAAAUACGGUUAUGAGACGUUUGACCUUGUCUUAUGAGAUGGGGCUGGGGAACAAGGUACAUAAAGUGGGACAGU